GUUUUUAAAUAAGCUGCUAGAGUGAAACAACACAGGAUUGCUCUUAUCUGCCCCUGGUGCUGUGAAUUUUUUAGCCAAAUCACAGACAGAUGGAUAGAUGAAUACGAAGCAAGUAUGAAUGUCCUACCAGUGGUUUCAUUUCAGAUGGCAAGUGUUUUCCCAGUGGUGAUCUACGUUCCUAAGUCUGAUGCAUGCAUGUUGUUGUUGCUUGGAGAAUCAGCUGUGAUUAUUCAAUUGUCUGAGAAAGUUCUGUUAAAUCAUGUAAAGAACCUUCUUGUCAAAUCUGAACUUCUAUAAAUUACCAAGCCUUGCUCACUCCAGUGUAAACAGAAAACCAGCAACCUAUUUUAGUUGUUCUUCUACUGCAACUGGGCCAUUUAAUUUCUUCUAUUUAAAGAACUGUAGUAGAUAGGAAUGACAGUGUAAAGAAUGCACUCAAUCUCUUUAGCUGAAAAUAAUCUUUAUUUACAAUAGGUUUUGGAUAAUUUUUUUGGGAAGCUGUCAUUCCAUUACUUUUCACAUAAAUCAAAGCAGAAGAGAAAUGUGUUUGAGAAGAAGUGGGAACUAAAGGUCAUAUCAUUCAAGAAAAGUCAUAUGCUUUAUUUGGGGCAGCCAUGAAGAACAGAAUGAAAGAUUGAACAGAUAUCUGGAGAAAUGUUCUGAAUGUUUUCUGGGUGAGAAAUAAAUUAAUAAAUUAAUAAAC
rnacentral:lncRNA from 1 species